rnacentral:piRNA from 1 species
UCAAGGUUUUGGAUUUCGGAGAACGUAGU